AGUGAACGCUGGCGGUAGGCCUAACACAUGCAAGUCGAACGACAGCACAGUAAGAGCUGGCUCUUACGGGUGGCGAGUGGGGGACGGUUGAGUAAGACUUGGGAUUAUACGUCGUCGGGGGGGAUAACGUCGGGAAACUUACGCGGAUAACGCAUACAUCCUCCUGGGGAAAGCACGGGAUCUAAAAACUUUGCGCUAUUGAAUGAGCCGACGUCGGCUUAGCUAGUUGGCAGGGUAAAGGCCUACAACGGCGACGAUCCGUAGCUGGUCUGAGAGGAUGAUCAGCCACACUGGGACUGAGACACGGCCCAGACUCCUACGGGAGGCAGCAGUGGGGAAUAUUGGACAAUGGGCGAAAGCCUGAUCCAGCAAUGCCGCGUGAGUGAUGAAGGCCUUAGGGUUGUAAAGCUCUUUUACCCGGGAUGAUAAUGACAGUACCGGGAGAAUAAGCUCCGGCUAACUCCGUG
rnacentral:rRNA from 1 species